GGACAGAGGGUGCAAACGUUUGUUCGGAAUUACUGGGCGUAAAGCGAGUGUAAGGCGGGUUUCCUAAGUCGGAUGUGAAAGCCCCGGGCUCAAACCCGGGAAGUGCACUCGAAACUGGGAGGCUAGAGUAUCGGAGAGGUUGGUGGAAUUCUCGGUGUAGAGGUGAAAAUUCGUAGAUAUCGAGAGGAACACCGGUGGCGAAGGCGGCCAACUGGACGAAUACUGACGCUGAGACUCGAAAGCGUGGGGAGCAAACAGG
rnacentral:rRNA from 1 species